GACAGAGGUGGCGAGCGUUGCUCGGAUUUACUGGGCGUAAAGCGUGCGCAGGCGGCCCGUUAAGACAGGUGUGAAAUCCCUGGGCUCAACCUAGGAAUUGCGCUUGUGACUGGCGGGCUCGAGUACGGUAGAGGGGGGUGGAAUUCCUGGUGUAGCAGUGAAAUGCGUAGAGAUCAGGAGGAACACCGAUGGCGAAGGCAGCCCCCUGGGCCUGUACUGACGCUCAUGCACGAAAGCGUGGGGAGCAAACAGG
rnacentral:rRNA from 1 species